GGGGGAAUCCAGCUGCGACAUCUGCCACCCCGUUGAUUGCCAGGAGUGAUUUGGCUGAUCUGGCUGGCUAGGUGGGUGUCCCUUCCUUCCUC
rnacentral:snRNA from 1 species